rnacentral:rRNA from 1 species
ACUACGGGUGGCAGCAGUGGGGAAUAUUGCGCAAUGGGGGCAACCCUGACGCAGCAACGCCGCGUGAGUGAAGAAGGACUUCGGGGUGUAAAGAUCUGUAAGCGGGGACGAAACUGGAGGGAACCCGAAAAAUAACCCCCGGCUAACUACUGCCCAGCAGCCGCGGUAAAAGGUAGGGAGCAAGCGUUAUCCGGAUUUACUGGGGGUAAAGGGGGGGAAAGCGGGUCUGAAAGCCAGAAGUGAAAUCUGGGGGCUUAACCCCCAAACUGCUUUUGGAACGGCGGGUCUUGAGUGCGGGGGAGGCAGGCGGAAUUCCCGGUGUAGCGGUGAAAUGCGUAGAUAUUAGGAGGAACCCCAGUGGCGAAGGCGGCCUGCUGGACAUUAACUGACGCUGAGGCGCGAAAGCGUGGGGAGCAAACAGGAUUAGAUACCCUUGUAGUC